UGGGGAAUAUUGCACAAUGGGCGCAAGCCUGAUGCAGCCAUGCCGCGUGUGUGAAGAAGGCCUUCGGGUUGUAAAGCACUUUCAGCGGGGAGGAAGGCGUUAAGGUUAAUAACCUUGGCGAUUGACGUUACCCGCAGAAGAAGCACCGGCUAACUCCGUGCCAGCAGCCGCGGUAAUACGGAGGGUGCAAGCGUUAAUCGGAAUUACUGGGCGUAAAGCGCACGCAGGCGGUCUGUCAAGUCGGAUGUGAAAUCCCCGGGCUCAACCUGGGAACUGCAUGCGAAACUGGCAGGCUAGAGUCUUGUAGAGGGGGGUAGAAUUCCAGGUGUAGCGGUGAAAUGCGUAGAGAUCUGGAGGAAUACCGGUGGCGAAGGCGGCCCCCUGGACAAAGACUGACGCUCAGGUGCGAAAGCGUGGGGAGCAAACAGG
rnacentral:rRNA from 1 species